UGCCCUCUGCUGGUCAAACAUUCAGCUUUAAGGGUUUUAGUUAAGGACAACUUGAGCUUGAGUGAAGGAUUCACUUCCACAACCACAAACCAUCUUUGUCCCUCUGCAUAUGUCAGCAAUGCAGCAGUUGGCAUAAACAGUCAGAAAAAAAACACCACUGUGUACCCAGAUAACAACACCUGGCAUUGUUGCAGCAUGAGAAGUCCUGCUUGCCUUUCCAGUCAGGCCCCACAUGGCCGUGUCAAACUGACGAGAUGAGCUAAUAGUGAAGCUGAGUGUUGGCAUACUGUGGGACCAGGAGUUUAUCUAAGCUGCUCUGCUCAUCUACCUGCUCCCGACCCGGUAAGAUAAAUCUUUUACUAAAGCUCUUGUGGAAACUAAAUUAUCAACAUGAUGUUAUACAUUCUUAGCUAUGACAGUUUUAAGUAAGCAUUGAGGUGAUUAGAGCCAUCAAAGUGGCGAU